AUUUAAAUAGUUUAAAUAAAACGUCGGUUUGUGGUAUCGAAGAUAUGAUAUUAGUUCAUUUUAAAUC
rnacentral:tRNA from 1 species